CGAACGGCAACUCUGCAUGUAGCAAACUUAUAUCAGGACCCUGGUGCUUUCCCCUGUGAUAGUUGUAAAAAGCGAUUCAGGUCGAACUAUUACGCUUUGCACAGACACGUAUUAAAGCUUCACCAACUUCCUUGAACGACAGGAUAGGUCCACCACGAAAGGAAGGAUCCAGCGAUCGAACCAAUCCAAUAGACAAUGAAGUGCUCUGCAAAAGUAUGUCCACGACAGUUCAGCUUGAGAGAUGUUGCCAAUACUGGGUUGAAAUAUCCACCAGAAUAGUCGCAGGCUGCAAUGAAGUAAUAUAAUAUUUUAGCAUUUGCUCUGAUUACAAGGCAAAAGUUUUACGUGCUUGGCUACCUGCAACAACUAAGGAAGUACCAAUGAAGGCAUCGAGAGCAGUUCCAAAACGAGGUUCGAGCUCAGCAAUAGUCCUUGAUACGAUCCUACACAGAAAGGUCGCGACACCUUCGACCAAUGCCCCGUGAAAUGCAGAUACCUGUAAUUCAUGUCAAUGGUUGACUUUAAUCUAAGCCCUGAUAUUGAAACAAAUCUUACGUGUAGAUCGGCGUCGCAAUCCCAGACCGAUCUAUUGUGUACCGAUAAUUGUAAAUCCCAAGUGUACUGAACGUACCUAAAGUAAAUGAGAAAAUAAUAAUUCAAUGUAAAUCAAA